UACGGAGGGUGCAAGCGUUAUCCGGAUUUACUGGGUUUAAAGGGUGCGUAGGUGGGUUUGUAAGUCAGUGGUGAAAUCUCCGGGCUCAACCCGGAAACUGCCAUUGAUACUAUCAGUCUUGAAUUUUGUUGAGGUAGGCGGAAUAUAUCAUGUAGCGGUGAAAUGCUUAGAUAUGAUAUAGAACACCGAUUGCGAAGGCAGCUUACUAAGCAAAUAUUGACGCUGAGGCACGAAAGCGUGGGGAUCAAACAGG
rnacentral:rRNA from 1 species